UUCCCUGUUUUUUAACACAGGUGAGCCAUUUGCAUUGGCAGCAUCACAUAUGUCUAAAUUUUAAUUUAAAUUGGAAUACUAACUAUUGCUAAAUAUCUUCUGCAACAUUAAAACAAAACUAGGCAUGUAUAUGUAUAUGUGCAUUGUAUAUGUGCAAUGUAUAUGCAUAUGUAUAUGUAUAUAAAUUGGGUCAACUCAAUUAGUGUUAGUAGAAGUGGCCAUAUUGUAGUAAAAACCUCAACGAUUGAGAAAGGUAAUGUAUCUUAGAUGCACUCUGGUGUUUGAUCUGUAGGUAAACAUUUUUACAAAACAUAUAUCCAUGUCUCAAUGAAAAAGAAAAAAGCAAAAAGCAUUUACAUUUAUGCCAGCUUUUCUUACUACGUGCUUUAAAAUUAAGUCAUAAAUCCAACUAAUUUUUGUAUGUUUCUCUUUGUGAGAUGUUUUUGCCCUUCCCUUGAUAUACAUUUUCUGACCCCCAAUAUUGUGCUUGACAUUCCUCAUCCUGAGGGAUAGCAAAGAUGAAGGUCUCAGAGUUCCAUGGAAACAACACUACCUACCAUGCAUCCGGAUCUGUAUCACAGCCAUCAAUCCCUAAGCUAUCACAAAAUACCAAUAAAGAUCAGGGCGGAAUCAUGGUAAAAGGAGUAUAGGGACUCUUCUCUCGAUGAGAGUAAAUUUUAGACCUUGGAAUGUGAGGUGGAGUAUUCUAUCACACUGUUGACUUUGACAUGACAACAGAAUUUAAAGUGAUGUAAGAAGAAAGAUGGACAAGCCUGUCCAGGUUUCCUUAGGGUUUGGGGAGAGGGCAGGUAGAAAUUCUCAGUUUUCUAAGAAACCUCUCCUGUGUUCUUGAAAACGAAAUGUGAUUCAGCUACUUCCUCCUCAGCCCUCGGAGUCAGAUUACAGAUACUGAGGGAUGGAUCCUGCAGACAGGUACCAAACAGAGAAUUUCAGAUUGCAUCAAAGCAUCUGAUUGAUUGACCUUACCAACUGAGGAGGCAAGACAAUUUUACAUAUAAGAAGAAAAGAGAGCCACAUGCCUCUUCUCUUCAUUCCCACAGCCCUCAUACCCACAGCUCAGCAAGCCUACAUCGGCUUAAGGAACUAAAUCAUUACUUUCCUUUUCCACACCAAAGCCUUCACACACAUAAACCCUCUGUCCUCGUCAUUUUUAAAUGGCAUGUGCAAAAACACACAGGGAAGCUAUGAAUCUUCCAGAAAGGGUUCCCAAGGUGGUAAAGGAGCAUUUAUAAGAAACACGAGUGAGUCCUGAGAUGACAAGAUUGAGCUGCAAUAUAAAACUAUAGCAUAGGUUUUUUAAAAUCAGCAGAGGUUAAAAAUGAAAUUAGUUAACAUAUAGAAUAAGUAAUAAUUAUGUCAGAUUUAGGCAGAAAAAAAAAGAGCAGAAAGCAGAGGCAGAUGGACGCUGUCUCAUUGGUAACAGCUAUACUGUAUAAAGUUUGCUUCCCAUGGAAUCCAUUCCCCAUUCUUAUUGCAAAAUUACAACCAGAGAUGAGGCUCUAUACUUGGGCUAAAGCCUACUCUUAGGUUGCAGCUAGUGACUCAGUAGAAUCGCCUCAGCACUCCUGCUCACCAUUUGGAGGUCUAUCACUCUGACAAAUUCCUUACUACAUGGGCUGGUGAGGUGGCUCGGUGGUUAGAAUUAAGGAUGCUGUUCAUACAGAGGACCCAAGUUCAGUCUCUAGCCACCAUGUCACACAGCUCCCAAUUGCCUGUCAUUCUAGCUUUGGGCACUACAUAAUGCCUCUAGUGAGUACCUGUUCUCACAUGUAUAUAUACCGUCACAUAAUUAAGAAUAAUUUUUAAAAUACAUUCUUUGAAAAUAUCUUCAUUACAGAAAUGUCAUAGCUCCCCUGCUCCAGCCCAGAGGCUGAUUCAACUUGUUUUUGUGAUUGUUUUUGUUUUUGUUUUGCAACAGCCAUAGCCCAGGGGUGACUUUGAUCCAUUCCUGGUAGGAUAUCCCUAAUAUCUCCCUACAACCUUCCCUACUGUCUCUCAUUGUUU
rnacentral:lncRNA from 1 species